rnacentral:rRNA from 1 species
AUUGAACGCUGGCGGCAUGGAUUAGGCAUGCAAGUCGAGCGAGAAGUGUAGCAAUACACAGAAAGCGGCGGAAGGGAGAGUAAUACGUGGGAAUCUGCCCUUAGACCUGGGAUAGCAGCGGGAAACUGCUGGUAAUACCAGAUAAUGUCUAUGGACCAAAGGUGUGAUUCCGUCUAGGGAUGAGCCCACGUCCUAUUAGCUAGUUGGUAGGGUAAUGGCCCACCAAGGCGAUGAUGGGUAGCGGGUGUGAGAGCAUGACCCGCCUCACUGGGACUGAGACACUGCCCAGACACCUACGGGUGGCUGCAGUCGAGAAUCUUCGGCAAUGGGCGCAAGCCUGACCGAGCGAUGCCGCGUGCGGGAUGAAGGCCUUCGGGUUGUAAACCGCUGUCGAGGGGGAGCAACUUCCAUAGAGUUAUCUUUAUGGAUUGAGUGAUCCCUGGAGGAAGGACGGGCUAAGUUCGUGCCAGCCGCCGCAGUAAGAC